rnacentral:rRNA from 1 species
GACAGAGGUGCCGAGCGUUAGGCGGAAUCACUGGGCUUAAAGCGUGUGUAGGCGGAUCGUUAAGUACCUUGUGAAAUCCCACGGCUCAACCGUGGAACUGCUGGGUAUACUGGCGGUCUUGAGCCCCCGAGGGGCGAGCGGAACAAGCGGUGGAGCGGUGAAAUGCGUAGAUAUCGCUUGGAACGCCAACGGUGAAAACAGCUCGCUGGGGGGGUGCUGACGCUGAGACACGAAAGCCAGGGGAGCGAACGGG